AUUGAACGCUGGCGGCAGGCCUAACACAUGCAAGUCGAGCGGUAGAGAGGUGCUUGCACCUCUUGAGAGCGGCGGACGGGUGAGUAAUGCCUAGGAAUCUGCCUGGUAGUGGGGGAUAACGCUCGGAAACGGACGCUAAUAACGCAUACGUCCUACGGGAGAAAGCAGGGGACCUUCGGGCCUCUCGCUAUCAGAUGGGCCGAGGUCGGAUUAGCUAGUUGGUGAGGUAAUGGUUCACCAAGGCGACGAUCCGUAACUGGUCUGAGAGGAUGAUCAGUCACACUGGAACUGAGACACGGUCCAGACUCCUACGGGAGGCAGCAGUGGGGAAUAUUGGACAAUGGGCGAAAGCCUGAUCCAGCCAUGCCGCGUGUGUGAAGAAGGUCUUCGGAUUGUAAAGCACUUUAAGUUGGGAGGAAGGGUCGUUACCUAAUACGUGACGAUUUUGACGUUACCGACAGAAUAAGCACCGGCUAACUCUGUGCCAGCCGCCGCGGUAACAC
rnacentral:rRNA from 1 species